UUAGGCGGCAGGCAGAUGGGUUGGCCGCCCGGCUGAUUAUUAAUCAGCCGGUCGCGGGUUCGAGUCCCAUCGCCAGAUCCA
rnacentral:tRNA from 1 species